GUAAUAAAUAUAUAAUUAACGUAUAUUUAUUUUAUUUAAUUACGUUCUAAAUAUUUAACGAUUUGAGAACUUUAUUAUAUAUUUAAUGUAUAUUUAAUUUUAUUUAAAUAUAUCCUAAAUAUUUUAACGGUUUGCGCAAUCAAGAAUAAUUUUAGAAUUUUAUGUUGAAAAGAAUUUGAAUUACGAAAUACAUUGGAAUUUGGAAAAUAAUCAUAACCGGUUUUGGAAGUUUAAAUGCAAACUUAAAUCUAAUCCUAGCCCAAAUUGGCAAAGCCCAAUACAAUGAACCCAUAACCUUCCUAUACUCCUAUUCCACGUGAAAACAAAAGAAAAACAAACCCUUCCCUCUCAACCACCAUUCACGUAAAUUGCAAACCCUCCUCCUUUCUCACAUUGCUUCCCCUUACUGCUACAACUCACGCCGCCAGCUGCCGGCCACCUACAACCGCCGGACCACCGCCAGCUUCCUCUUCCGUUCGCAACCACCAGCCCAGCACCACCGCAGUCACCGUCGGCUCGUCGCUAACCUCUUUCCGCCACCCCUGCUCGCCGCCGCGCAACCCUAUCGCCGACCAGCACGUUCUCUCUCCACUCUGUUUCGUCACUACUCCACGCGGGCCAUCACCACCUUCGGCAACCAGCCCAACCGCAACCUCCACCGCGCCCAGCCGCGUCUCCUAGCUCGCCACCACUGCCGUGCCUGCACCACCGCCGGCCAGCACUCUCCUUCCUCUCCUUUUGGCGAAGAAUUCUCUUUAGGCGACUUUUGAAAGUGUUAAAGUGGUCUAUCAGUUUGUUUACACAAGUCUUUAAGGAUCAAUAAGCGUUGACCAUCUACAGGUUUGAAGAUGAUGCAUCAUUGGGAUCGGGAUUAGAGAGCUUGUAGUUCUAUUCGUUUAAUUAAGUGAUUUAAUUUGUUAACUUGGAUUUGAAAUUUGUCGUACCAUUCGUAUUUCCUUAAUUCAGUUAAAUGGGUUUGGACCUAAUAUGUAAUAGAUUAUUUAUGAACCUAAAAGUUAGUUUUAUGUUUUCCGCUGCAAAAUUCUGAAUAAGCCGAUACGUUUUCACACGGGCGAU